rnacentral:rRNA from 1 species
UGGGGAAUUUUGGACAAUGGGCGAAAGCCUGAUCCAGCAAUGCCGCGUGUGUGAAGAAGGCCUUCGGGUUGUAAAGCACUUUUGUCCGGAAAGAAAUCCUUGGCUCUAAUACAGUCGGGGGAUGACGGUACCGGAAGAAUAAGCACCGGCUAACUACGUGCCAGCAGCCGCGGUAAUACGUAGGGUGCAAGCGUUAAUCGGAAUUACUGGGCGUAAAGCGUGCGCAGGCGGUUUGCUAAGACCGAUGUGAAAUCCCCGGGCUCAACCUGGGAACUGCAUUGGUGACUGGCAGGCUAGAGUAUGGCAGAGGGGGGUAGAAUUCCACGUGUAGCAGUGAAAUGCGUAGAGAUGUGGAGGAAUACCGAUGGCGAAGGCAGCCCCCUGGGCCAAUACUGACGCUCAUGCACGAAAGCGUGGGGAGCAAACAGGAUUAGAUACCCUGGUAGUCCACGCCCUAAACGAUGUCAACUAGUUGUUGGGGAUUCAUUCCUUAGUAACGUAGCUAACGCGUGAAGUUGACCGCCUGGGGAGUACGGUCGCAAGAUUAAAACUUAAAUGAAUUGACGGGG